CUACGGGCUGCUGCAGUGGGGAAUCUUGCACAAUGGAGGAAACUCUGAUGCAGCGAUGCCGCGUGAGUGAAGAAGGCCCUUGGGUUGUAAAGCUCUUUUGUCGGGAAAGAUAAUGACUGUACCCGAAGAAUAAGGUCCGGCUAACUUCGUGCCAGCAGCCGCGGUAAUACGAAGGGACCUAGCGUAAUUCGGAAUUACUGGGCGUAAAGCGCGCGUAGGCGGUUAAGUAAGUUAAUUGUGAAAGCCCAAAGCUCAACUUUGGAAUUGCAAUUAAAACUACUUAGCUAGAGUUUAUCAGAGGAAAGCGGAAUACAUAGUGUAGAGGUGAAAUUCGUAGAUAUUAUGUAGAACACCAGUUGCGAAGGCGGCUUUCUGGGGUAACACUGACGCUGAGGUGCGAAAGUAUGGGUAGCGAAGAGGAUUAGAUACCCUAGUAGUC
rnacentral:rRNA from 1 species